UACGGGGGGGGGCAAGCGUUGUUCGGAAUUACUGGGCGUAAAGGGCUCGUAGGCGGCCAACUAAGUCGGAUGUGAAAUCCCCAGGCUUAACCUGGGAACUGCAUCCGAUACUGGAUGGCUUGAAUCCGGGAGAGGGAUGCAGAAUCCAGGUGUAGCGGUGAAAUGCGUAGAUAUCGGGAGGAACACCUGUGGCGAAAGCGGCGCACUGGACCACAACUGACGGCUGAGGCGCGAAAGCCUAGGGGGAGCAAACAGG
rnacentral:rRNA from 1 species